rnacentral:lncRNA from 1 species
GGCCUGUAACCUUUUUAUGUAUUGGAGCAUCUGCUCAUUAUUUAGAUUGCUCAGAUAAGUCUCAUUAACUAUUGAGGGUGUGUUUUAUCCACUACCAAGAGUGGAGAAAAUGAUUAUACCCUUAUUAGCAGCAGUGUUAGUAGAAGCUCGUGAAUUGUCAACUAUUUUAGAGAAUAGAAAAAAAAAGUUUAUUUUUAAGAGGAAAGUGAAUGAAAGACGGCUUUCUAUUCCAAUUGAACAGAGAAAAUCCAUUAGAAUUUCCAGCAAUAGAAUCAAAUGAUGUGGUUAAAAUGAGACUGUGCUGCAAUUGAUCAACUUGCAAGAAAAAGAAAGCGAGGUGAUUAGCGCCUAUGGCAGCCACUCCGAUACUCAAAUCAGUAAAUUGAAAAAAAUGGCGAAUGUAAUGAGAUACUUUGAACUCAAGUGUAGAUGUGUCAUAAGAGCAUACCUUAAUCUCUAUAUUCAUAUGCUUUUAUACUGUAAAAAGAUAGAGUUUGUUAUCACAUCUCUUGGAACUCCAACUAGUACCAGUUAGUGAUAUGAGAUCACACGAUUAUAGGUGUAAUGAAGAUGUGUUGGAUUGCGUUCUCUAACGGUAACUUUCUAUGGAAUUUCACUCUGUAGUUGAAAGAGUGAGUUUUGAUGAAAAGCUGAGACCUAUGGUGUCUAGGUCUCUUUUUUCGCCAAUGAGACUCAAUAUCAUCUGAUUAGAUCCUUAGCACAUGUUUCUGUUUUCAAAUGCCAAUUCAUGACCUACUUUGAAUGAUUGUUGUGCUAUAUCAGUUAUAUAAUUUUUUUUUAGUAUAAAUACUUCAAAAUAAAUUAAAUAAAUAUUUUAUUUUGAAAAAAUCAAAUUGCCCCUAAGCAAUAUAUAAGAUUUUUAAUUUCAAAAUGAAAUAAAUAAAUCCAUCAAUUUAAAAAUAUAUUAAAACAUACUAAAUUAUAAACUUAAACAAAGUUUUGUGCAUAAAAUCCUCAUUUACUGUAUUUUAGAACAUAUUAAUAUUUUUUUAUUGUGUGAUUCAAAAAAUUUUAUUAUGGAUUUAUUAUAUUCAUUAUAAGUACUGUCUUUUUUAUUAUAAUAUAAUAAAAUGCAAUUCUGAUUAUUAUGUUGAGAACAUAGAUAUGAGCAGAUAAUUUAAACUCUGAUUUAAUAUUUAAAAAAAUAAUAAUUGCAAACAAAUGAGGCAUAAAAAGAUAUAAAUUAAAAAACAUAGUUUACCCGAUUUACUUUUAAAAUUCAAAAAAUUUAUUUAAUUUAUUUUUAAAAAUUUUAUAUAUCUUUUAAAUAUUUAUUUUAUUUAUUUUUUAUUUAAAAAAUUUGUUUGGGCUCGUAUAAUUAUUGAUUUCUAUUUUAGUAGCCAAAUUAGACUUUUUGGGUUUACUCAAUAAUUUCUUCGUUACUUUAACAAUGGAAGGCGGGUGCACCCGAGUAGGAGGCCACUGAUGACGUGGCAACAUCAUCUGCAUGUUCGGUCCCACGUAAGGAAGUUCGUUUGUUCCUUGAUGAAGGACUCCUUCGUCUCAGAAUUCUAUUCUAGUAAAACAGCUUAGAGCUCUCUCUCUAAUCUCCAGGAAAGCCAAUCACAAGGUUUCUGCUUCAAAACUUUCUGCUCCUCUUCAACGUUGUAAUCUCUAACUCAUUUACUUUCUGGUAUGUCAGCGAUUCCCUUCUUCUCUCUUUCUAUCACUUAUCUCUCUUCGGGUAUGUGAAUAGUCUCUGAGCUCCUUAGGUUUCAUGAGUUCUGAUAACAGAUAAUUCAAAUUUUGGGCAGAAUUGCAAAAUAGAUUGGUUCCCAGAAAGAAUAUUAGACCCAAAAAAUAAAACGUCUUUUUAUGCUGGUCCUUUUUUAUUGUUUAUUUUUUCAUUUGGAAUUUUUGUAGGAUAUCAGUGCAAGUUCUCUUAUUCUCUGUUUCUUAGUUAAUUCUCAUAUGUUAUGCAUAUUUUUUUUUGCCCUUGUUAGCGAUUCAAUUACUUUUGAUUCCUUUAUUUUAGUUCUGCUCAGUUUGUUUUCUGUUCAAAUUAUUAGUUUCAGGGUUUUGUAUAAUUAUUACUAUGAUCAGUUUGGAUCGAGACUUUGAAUAUGAAUCUCCUGUUUGCUUGCAGUCGAAGGCUAUCAAGUGGGGUUAUAAGGGUCUAAUCUAAAUAUUCUUCAAAGGGUUUGUGCAUUUUAAUUUCAUUUUUGAAUAUGUCCUCAUCUAACAGUAAUACUCACACUGAAGCUGCUAAAAUGGAACAAAUUAUCGCUGAAUUUUUUGCUAAAAGUCUCCACAUAAUAUUGGAGUCGAGGUCUCCUGCUAUGUCAUCUCGUAAUUACAGUGCUGAUCAAGCUGCAUCGUCUCCAUCUUCCUCUUCGUCCUCCUCUACAAGCGUAAGGCCUAGAGAUAAAUGGUUUAAUUUAGCCCUUAGGGAAUGCCCGGCUACGCUUGAGAAUCCAGAUAUCUGGCGUCGUAUGAAUCUGGAACCAAUGGUUGUUGAUGUGAUUUUGGUGCAGAGACCACCCGAUAGGGACCCUGCAAAUUCUUCCCUGAAAAAGGAUUUGUUUAGGAAUCCUUACUUGAAGGAACGUUAUCCUUUUAGUUGGAAUUCUGAUCAAGAAGAAUUAGGAUAUGAUGCUAAGACUGAGAAAAUUAUAGAGAGAUGGAUAGUGCAGUGUGAGAGUAGGAGGUUAAGGGAUAAUGGUUCUGGCAGUAGGAGAUCAAUUGGUACUUUGCAUACGUUCUAUAAGAAAUUAAUAUUACUUUUGAGGUCUUUGUAUGCAACUGUUAGGCUUCUUCCUGCACAUAAGAUUUUCCGCGACCUCAAUUCGUCUGGACAGAUUCGCACAUUUACCCUUACUCAUAGGGUUUCUUCUUUUGUUGAGCCCUUCACUCGCAAGGAAGAGACUGAAAUGCAGCGAUUUGGGUUCAAUCCUGUGGAUACUUCCUGUGGUAGGCUUUGCCUUUCAGUAGUCUAUCGUUCAUCACUCUCAGACAUAAGGUCUGAAUCAUCAACCCAAAUGUCCCCCCAAUUUAUCCCUGACUAUGUUGGGAGCCCAUUGGCAGACCCACUGAAAAGGAUCCCUUCUCUUCCUCUAUCACAUGGUUCUCCAUCAUCCUUGCCAUUCUCAAGACGACAUAGUUGGAGUUAUGACCUUUAUAAAGCUUCUCCACCUUCAGUUUCUUUCUCACCAUCUCCUACUCAUUCAGAAUCACAUGCAUCAAUUUCUAAUCCAAGUUCCCGUCGCUUCCCAACUAUGAACUUGCCUCCUCAUCCACCUGAAAUAUCUUCAGUUCAUAAGAAAAAUAUGAGCUAUGAUGAGUAUUGUCCUUCCCCUAACUUUACACCCUCCCCAUCACCAUCACCACCAAUCUACAUUCCUGGGCGUCAUCUGGCUAAGGCUCUUUUACGGUCUGAAAGUGCACCUGUUAGCAUACCUACAGGCAAGCUUUCUAGUUCCCCUGUGUUGUCCAACAAGCAAAAUUUGCCUCCAUCUCCUCCCCUCAAAGGUACCAGAUCUGGCAAUCCUAGGACUGAUACAAGCACAGGUUUUGUGCAGACUGGUGCAUCAGUUGAGAAGGUAUUAUAUAUGCUCAAUACAGUGAACUUUCUUGCAAUUGUUCUUGUUUAAUUUAGGAAUCUUUUUAUAUGCUGUAGUUGUUCUCCCUUGGAAAAGAUGACACUAGAAAGUAUUCGGGGAUGAGGAUACCAUCCAACAGCUCUCCACAGAUUUCAUUUUCCAGAAGUCCCAGCAGGUCUUUUCCAGAUGAUUUUGAUGAUCCUGACUUUCCUUGCCCAUUUGAUGUAGAGGAUGAUGAUAUGACAGAUCCAAGUAGCAGGUAAUUGGUUAAGUAGUCUUAGCUAUCACCUUGCUUCUGUUGUAUUAAAUUUUGAUAGGAACAUUAUAACUGGCUCUAAUCACUUGCUAAGAGCUUCAGAAGUUAUUACAAAUAAUGAUAUUAUAUGUAUAUUGAAAUAUCAGAGUGGAAAUUUUUUUGAUUAGGAGUCAAAUUGUCCCAUUUUUCUUACUGAAACAUUGAGAGUACAGCUUACCAAUUAGGGCAGAAUGUCCCAAUUCAGAUCUGCUCAUGGAUUACGAGUGACAUCAAUUUGUGAUCGAAACUUAGAUAUACCACAGGGCUUCACUAAUUUUCCAUGAUUUAAGUUUGAUGUUUUUUUUAUUUUUUUUUCUUUUAGUAAAUGGUGCAUAUAUGUAUAUAAUUUGUGGUACGUGUAAAAACCACUCAAAGGGUUUCUUUGUAAGAGUUCAUAUCCCUGCCAUGGUUUCUCAAAUAUCUUGACCUUUGCUAAGAAUUGAUCUUGACAUUUUAAAGCUGGUCUUUUAAACGAAGUGAGUAAUUAUUCAACAGCUGAGCUGAAAUAUAAUGUGGAUUGUGGACAUUGCAUGUUACUGGCCUAUAUUUUGACAGCAAAACGGGAUAACAGAAUUGAUCAAGACAACACAAAUUGAUAGGAGUUUAAAAUUUAACUUCAAAAUCUCUUACUAUGCAAAUACUCUGAUUGUACCAUGCCAACAAAUAGAAGGCCAAUCAAAAUAUUGGGGAUGUUUGCAUAGGCUGUUGAACAAGUUGCAUGUGUUGGGAAAAAGGGUAACUUGCAAAUGCUUAUUUCUUCAGUUGGUUAUGCAAAGGGGUAUGGACAAAAAUAUAUCAUAUUUUAGCAGUUGUGAAAAUGAAAAAUAUAUUUAGUUUUACACAAAAUUGCUACUGCAAAUUUGUUCUCUUAGUACUUGUAGAAAAUUAGGUAUGCUUGUGGAUUUUGCUAAAGUUUCUUUGGUUUUAUAUUCUGUCAAAUCUGUUAUAUAUAUUGAAUUGAGUGGAAGAGCAUCAAUGUAUUAUUUGUUGAGAAGAGGAGGACUUUUAUAAAUCCUUAUUCUGAUGCCAAAUGUUACUCAUCCAACUGCUUUCAAGUUUCCAAGCAAACAUAAAAGCAAACAUCGCUUUGAAUUGAUUUUUGCUAAUUGCUGGAAUGUUUUUCAGGAGAGAAUUUUAUUCAGUGAAUUGUGAUGCUUUUUGAUUAGGGACCUUUGAAUUGAUGAUGGUUGCUUUUAUUGUAUAUAACUAAUUGAGUGGCCAAAAGACUUCGAACUGAAAUAUGCUUAAUAGUGGUUGCCAUUUCCCCUGCAAUAAUGCAUAUACAAAUUAGUUUUGUCAGUCUUCAUGUUCAUUUAUCUUGUACUAUUAAAGGUUGUGUAUAAGUUUGUUGUUAAAUCUUGGCAAAUGUGCUUUGUUUUCACCCUGUUGUGCACAUAAGUCUUUUUUUCUUUUUGCCAAGUGCAUGUAAAUUAGGUCAGACCAUAGUUGUCAAUGGUGCACAUAAAGUCUGCUAUGUGAGCACCAGACCAGCAGAUGAAAGAGAAAGAAGACAGACAGGAAGAAGAAAGGCAUAGGGAAUGUUAGAGUAUGAACAUAAUCAUAGGAGAUUACAUAAUCAUAGGCUAAUUGAUUGAUAGAGGAUUCUUAGGAGUUGCCUUAACAAGGUCUUGUAAUCUGUAUAUAUACACACUUAUUUCAAUGGAGAAAUAUACUGAAAUUGCCCAAUUAUUCAUUAUUUUAUUACAUAGUAUCCGAGUCAUUCCUGUAGAGAUUUAAUUUUUUUUCUCUCCCGUCGAGUUUUAAAUUUUUUUUUUUGGAGACUUAGGGCUCCUAUUCUUUUGGGUUACCCAUCUAGGGUAAUAUUUGUCUUUCACAGCCCAUCUAGAGAGGACGCCGGAGUUGCCUUGUAGCCCCUUGUUAAAUUUGUGGGGAUUGUAUGUAAUAAAGGGGUAUUGCAUACACUUGAUAGAUGGGUCAGUUAUUGUAUUACUUCCUAUUCAUUAUCUUAUCACCUAGGAAGUAAAUAUUGAUAGAUGGGUCAGUUGCUUAAUCUUAGGGAUUGUAUAAUCAUAGGCUUGAUUUUCCUUCCUAUUUAGUUACCGUCUCUCAUAUAUAAAUAGGUUGUAAUCUUUAUUGUGAUAUACAAUAAAUAUUAUCCUUUUACAUGGUAUCAGAGCCUGGUUCAUAGAGAUUUUUUUUCCCUUUUCUCUCUCGUAAAGUUUUAAAAUUUUUUUUGGAGACUUAGGACUCCGUUCAUUUGGGUUAUCCAUAAAGGGUAACAUUUGGAUCUCACAAUCGCUGGAGUCAUCACACCGACUCCUUGUCAGAUUUGAGGUUUGUUUGCCGUUCGGGUGUUGGGGGAGGUGUUUUAUUUGGUACUGUUCAUCGGCACUGUUCAGGGGUACUGUUCAUCGGCACUGUUCACCGGUACUGUUCACGUGGUACUGUUCAUCGGUACUGUUCACGCCGGGUACUGUUUUCUGAUUCCGUGUUUCUUUUGUUGCUAUCGUUUUUGGGUUGGUUGUCCUUAUGGCUGAAGUUAAAACCACCACCGUAACUGAUGUGAUUUCUAUGAUGACUAAAAUCACGGAACACAAAUUGAAUGGAUCUUUCGAUCAGGGAAUUUUGAUAUCUGCAGAUGAGUAUGCACAAUUCAUCCAAUACCAGGCAUCUAUAAAAUCUUCUAAUUCCUCCUCUAUCACUGCAAUUGCCGAGUCAGGUAACUCUACUGCAUUUCUUGUGUCUUCAUCCUCCAAAUGGGUUAUUGAUUAUGGUGCUACCGAUCAUAUGUCAGGUAAUUCUACCCUUUUGUCCAAUCUUGAGUCUCAUACAUCGCCUUCUUAUGUUACUCUUGCUGAUGGCACUAAAUCGUCUGUCAUGGGUUCUGGUCAUGUCAACUUAACCCCUUCUCUUUCUGUAUCCUCUGUGUUAUGUCUCCCUAAGUUCGCAUUUAAUUUGCUUUCCAUGAGUAAACUCACUCGUGCAUUGAAUUGUUGUGUCUCAUUCUUUCCUGAUCACUGUGUUUUUCAGGAUCUUUCGACGAAGCAGAUUAUUGGUAGAGGAAGUGAGUCAGAGGGUCUUUACGUCUUGGAUCAGCAACUACCUCGAUCUCCUCGAUCUCUGGUAUGCUCCACGCGUUUAACACCUUUUGAUGUUUAUUGUCGUUUAGGACAUCCUUCUCUCUCGGUUUUGAAGAAGUUAUAUCCACAGUUUCAUUCUUUGUCUAUUCUAGAUUGUGAGUCUUGUCAAUUUGCCAAACAUCAUCGUUUACCUACUCUGUCUCGAGUCAAUAAACGGGCUUCGUCUCCCUUUGAGUUAGUCCAUUCAGAUGUUUGGAGUCCUUGUCCUGUUGUGUCUAAGUCUGGCUUUAAGUAUUUUGUUACCUUUGUUGAUGAUUUCUCUCGUACUACUUGGUUAUUUUUAAUGAAGAGUCGUUCAGAAUUAUUUUCUAUUUUUUGUGCAUUUUAUGCUGAAAUCCAAACCCAAUUCAAUACUUCCAUCCGUAUAUAGCAAAGUGAUAAUGCUAAAGAGUAUCUCUCUGGGGAAUUUCAAUCUUAUUUGUUACAAAAAGGGAUUCUUCAUCAGUCCUCUUGUGUUGCCACUCCUUCACAAAAUGGAGUUGCUGAAAGAAAAAAUCGACAUCUUCUUGAAGUAGCCAGAGCCCUCUUAUUCCAAAUGAAGGUACCUAAAUAUUUUUGGGCUGAUGCUGUAUCCACUGCUUGUUUUUUGAUCAAUCGCAUGCCUUCCUCCGUCCUUCAUGAUGAUAUCCCUUAUAACAUUUUAUUUCCCAUUAAAUCUUUGUUUCCCAUUGAGCCACGUCUCUUUGGUUGUACUUGUUUUGUUCGUGAUGUUCGUCCACAGGUUACUAAAUUGGAUCCCAAAUCACUCAAAUGUGUCUUCCUUGGCUACUCUCGAUGUCAGAAAGGGUAUCGUUGUUUUUCUCCUGAUCUGAAUCGGUAUCUUGUGUCUGCGGAUGUAACAUUCUUUGAGUCCACUCCGUUUUUUCCGCCAUCAUCUGUUUAUAACACCCAGGAGGAGGAAGAUGAUCUCUUGUUAUACACUGUUCGCUCUUCGUCUCCUCAGACUACUCCUACACCUUUCGCUCAUGUGCCAGGUCGCCCUCCCAUCUUUCAUGUGUAUUCCAGACGCUUAGAGGACUCUGACUCCGUUCCGCUACCCGCUUCUUCGUCGACCGAUCUUGCUCCUACUGAUCCUUCAUUGUCUGAUUUGGAUUUGCCCAUUGCUCUUCGCAAAGGUAAACGUACUUGCACUUAUCCUAUUUCAUCUUGUGUCUCUUAUGAUCAAUUAUUCUCCUCUUCUUGUUGUUUUGUCACUGCUUUAGAUUCUAUUUCAAUUCCCAAAACUGUUAUUGAGGCUUUGUCCCAUCCUGGUUGGCGUGCUGCAAUGGAAGAGGAAAUGAUGGUAAGUGUGAUCACUCAGUGUUUUAUAGAAAUUCUGAUAGUGGAGUAAUUCUGCUUGUAGUAUGUGUGGAUGAUAUCGUUAUCACAGGAAGUGACAUUGCUGGCAUCACAUCCUUAAAAGAAUUUCUUAAAACACAGUUUCAUACAAAAGAUUUGGGUUCCUUGAAAUAUUUCUUGGGAAUCGAAGUUAUGCGGUGUAAGAAAGGCAUCUUCUUGUCUCAAAGAAAAUAUGUUCUUGAUUUGUUGGCAGAAACAGGAAAAUUGGGUGCUAAGCCUUGUAGUGCCCCAAUGACCCCUAACCUUCAACUUACCACAGAAGACAGUGAGCCAUUUGCAGAUCCUGGAAGGUAUAGAAGAUUAGUUGGCAAGCUGAAUUAUUUGACGGUGACUCGUCCUGAUAUUGCAUAUUCAGUGAGUGUGGUAAGUCAGUUUAUGUCUUCUCCUACUGUUGCCCAGUGGGAUGCUCUGGGACAGAUUCUUUGUUACCUUAAAGGGGCCCCAGGGAGAGGCCUAUUCUAUGGUAACCAUGAACACUCAAAUAUUGAAUGCUUUUGUGAUGCUGAUUGGGCAGGCUCGAAAGUUGAUAGGAGGUCAAUUACUGGGUAUUGUGUUUUUGUGGGAGGUAACUUGGUCUCAUGGAAAAGUAAGAAGCAAAAUGUGGUCUCCCGUUCUAGUGCUGAAUCUGAAUAUCGAGCUAUGGCACAAGCCGUUUGUGAAAUCUUGUGGGUACGUCAACUGUUGGAAGAAGUUGGGUUCACAAAUUCGGUGCCUGCUAAGUUGUGGUGUGAUAAUCAAGCAGCUAUCCAUAUUGCCUCCAAUCCAGUAUUUCACGAGAGGACUAAACACAUCGAGAUUGAUUGUCAUUUUGUUCGUGAAAAGGUCCAACAAAAGAUAAUAUCAACAGAACAUAUCCGAACUGGAGAACAAUUAGGAGAUAUUUUCACUAAAACUCUAAAUGGGACUCGAGUUGAUUAUAUAUGUAACAAGUUGGGCAUGAUUAACAUUUAUGAUCCAACUUGAGGGGGAGUGUUAUAAGUUAUAGAAAGUAAAUAUGUUAAUAUAGGAAGUAAAUAUUGAUAGAUGGGUCAGUUGCUUAAUCUUAGGGAUUGUAUAAUCAUAGGCUUGAUUUUCCUUCCUGUUUAGUUACCAUCUCUCAUAUAUAAAUAGGUUGUAAUCUUUAUUGUGAUAUACAAUAAAUAUUAUCCUUCUACAAUAAUCAUAGGAGAUUACAUAAUCAUAGGCUAAUUGAUUGAUAGAGGAUUCUUAGGAGUUGUCUUAACAAGGUCUUGUAAUCUGUAUAUAUACACACUUAUUUCAAUGGAGAAAUAUACUGAAAUUGCCCAAUUAUUCAUUAUCUUAUUACAUAGUAUCCGAGUCAUUCCUGUAGAGAUUUAAUUUUUUUUCUCUCCCGUCGAGUUUUAAAUUUUUUUUUUGGAAACUUAGAGCUCCUAUUCUUUUGGGUUACCCAUCUAGGGUAAUAUUUGUCUUUCACAGCCCACCUAGAGAGGACGCCGGAGUCGCCUUGUAGCCCCCUUGUUAAAUCUGUGGUUCGUUUGGGUAUUGGGUGGAGGCAUUCUUGAUACUGUUCAGCUGGGUACUGUUCACGACGGCUAUUGUUCACUGGGUUAGGUUUUGUUAUCUUCCUUUAAUUCGUUUGAAGAUAUAGGAGUAUAGGGUUUUGGUUGAAUGGCUUCUGACAGUAAAACUCAUAUUAUUAAAAUUAUUCCAGUGUCUUCAGUAGUGACUGAGACAGGUAAAAUGUGUCUUAUUUCCUCUUUAUAUAAAUGGGUCAUUGAUUCUGGUGCCACAGAUCACAUGAUAGGUAAUCCUCAUAUUUUUAUUAGCUUUCGAUCUCAUAAAGCACCUUCUCCUAUUAUUAUAGUUGAUGGGUCAACCUAUAAUAUUGAGGGUUCUGGGAUUGUUAAACCUACUCCUUGUAUUACCUUACCUAAUCUUGCUUUUAAUUUAAUCUCUAUGAGUAAACUUACUAAAUACCUAAAUUUUUGUGUUUCCUUUUUUCCUGAUCAUUCUCUCAUUUAGGAUCUUGUGACGAAGCAGAUUAUUGGUGAAGAAUUUUGGGAAAAUUUAGAGAAUUCUUGUAUUUCACUCUUAAUCUUUACAAUUGAUUUACAUGACUAUUUAUACACAAAGAAUUAUAUCUAAACAGGAAGUAAAUAAUCAAAUAAUAAUUACAGAGAUAAUUAAGGAUCCUAAUCAAAUCAAAUCAUAUUCCUAGAAUCAGUUGGGAUCAGCAAAUAAGUCAACACUCCCCCUCAAGUUGGUGCAAAGAUGUCGCACAUGCCCAACUUGCAAAUCAAAUUAUGGUAGAUCUUGUUGUUGAGCCCUUUAGUAAACACAUCCGCAAGUUGCCCAGUAGAAGUCACAUGAACUAGACUCAAGACACCGUCUAUUAAUUUUUCUUUAAUGAAGUGCUGAUCAAUUUCAAUGUGUUUCGUCCGGUCAUGUUGGACUGGAUUUUGUGCUAUACUUAUAGCAGCUUUAUUGUUGUCUCUCUCGGGCAACCUCAACUCCCUCAAUAAUUUCUGCAACCAUAAGAGUUCACACACACCUUGGGCCAUUGCUCUGUAUUUUGCUUCAGCACUUGACCGAGCAACAACACUUUAUUUUUUGCUCCUCCAGGUGACAAGGUUCCCUCCCACAACUGUGCAGUAGCCAGAGGUGGAUCUCCUGUCAUCGAGAGAUCCUGCCCAAUCUGCAUCUGUAAAAGCUUAAACUCGAAGGUGACCAUGUUUGGAGUAAAGAAGCCCUUUUCCUGGCGCAGACUUUAAGUGUCUCAAGAUGCGCAAUACAGCCUGCAUAUGAGUCUCGCGAGGGUCAUGCAUGAAUUGGCUGACUAAGCUAACAACAUAGGCUAUAUCCGGUUGAGUGUGUGAGAGAUAAAUCAACCUUCCUACCAAUCUCUGGUAUCUUCCAAUAUCCACGGACUCACCAGUUCUUGCUUCCAGCUUGUGAUUACUUUCAAUGGGAGAUUCUGCUGGUUUACACCCCAUCAUACCGGUUUCUUCCAAAAGAUCCAGAAUGUACUUUCUUUGCGAGAUGAAAAUUCCUUUUUCUGAUCUAGCCACCUCGAUACCUAGAAAAUAUUGAAGUUUUCCUAGAUCUUUGAUUUCAAAUUCCUGAGCCAACAACCUUUUUAGUUUAGCCAUUUCCUCUUUGUCAUCAUCUGUCACCACUAUAUCAUCAACAUAUACAAUAAGAAGGGUGAUCUUACCUUUGUGAUGUUUAAUAAACAGAGUGUGAUCAACAUUACUUUGUUGGUAACCAAAGGACAUCAUAGCUUUGCUAAACCUGUCAAACCAAGCUCUGGGAGAUUGUUUUAGCCCAUACAAAGCCUUUUUUAACCUGCACACCUUUCCUUGUGUCUUCUCAUCAGCGAACUCAGGAGGAAUUUCCAUGAACACUUCUUCCUCUAAAUCUCCAUGGAGGAAAGCAUUCUUCACAUCAAAUUGUUGUAAGUCCUGGUCCAAGUUGGCUGCGCAAGAUAACAGGACUCUGAUUGAGUUCAUUUUUGCAACUGGGGCAAAUGUCUCUUGGUAAUCCACUCUAUAGGUUUGGGUGAAUCCUUUAGCAACCAAUCUGACCUUAAACCGUUCAAUUGUGCCAUCAGCUUUGUGUUUCACUGUGAACACCCAUUUACAGCCAACGAGUUUCUUCCUAGGCGGGAGAGUGACAAGCUCCCAGGUCUCAUUUUUAGCCAAUGCUUUCAUCUUUUCAAUCAUUGCUUUCUUCCAUUUAGGAUCUGCAAGAGCUUUCUUCCAAUUCUGUGGAAUAGACUCAGAGGAAAUAGACAAAGCAAAGGCUCUAUAGGAAGGAGAUAAGGAUUCAUAAGAAACAAAGUUAGAAAUAUGGUGUUUAGUACAAGAUCUGACCCCUUUUCUUUGUGCAAUAGGUUUAUCUAAGUCAUUGAAGCAUUCAAGAAUUGUGGGUAACUCACUAGAAGAAAGAGUUGUGGGUAACUUACCAGAAGAAGAUUCUUGACUGGGUAACUCACUAGGAGAAGAUUCUUGACUCUGAGUAGACUGCAUAAUAGCUUCUUCUGCGUUGUCUCUCCUCGAAUACCUUCUCAAAUCUGGCUUGUCCAAACGAUCAAUUCUCUCUCCCUGAUUGAACAUCUCCCUCUGUCUACUAGAAUUCAAACUUUCUAGUUGAAUCAUAUCAUUCAGAAUUACAGAAUUCGGGAUCACCUCUUCUUAUUUAUUAUUCUCCCUCUGAAGAGGUGAGUGGGUGGUACUGAAGUAGGGUUCAAUUUCUCGGAAAGUAACAUCCAUACUGACUAAGUAUUUCCUAGAGGGAGGAUGAUAACACUUGUAUCCCUUCUAUGUUGGAGAAUACCCAACAAACACAUAUUUAAGGGUCUUGGGAUCCAAUUUCCCUGCCGUCCUAGUAUGGACAAAGCAAACACACCCCAAUACUUUUGGUGGAACAACGUAUGAAUUCUUCCCUUGUAGAACCGCCAAAGGACUCAUAAAGUCAAGGGUCUUGAGAGGCAUUCUAUUGAUAAGAUAAGCAGAUGCAAGGAUUGCAUCUCCCCAAUAUGCUUUGGAUAGAUUCAUGGUGAACAUAAGAGAUCGAGCUACCUCCAAUAGAUGCCUAUUUUUCCUCUUAGCAACGCCAUUUUGAGCACUAGUAUAAGGACAACUAGUCUGGUGUACUAUCCCAUUACUCUCCAAAUAAGCAGAAAAAUUGCUAUCCAUGUAUUCUUUUCCAUUGUCAGUUCUCAAAAUUUUCACCUUAGUAUCAAAUUAAGUACAAACCAUCUUAUGAAAGGAUUGAAAAUAAGAAAAGACAUCACUUUUAGCUUUAAUCAAAUAAACCUAAGUCAUUCGAGUGCAACAAUCAAUAAAGGUGACAAAUCAUCGAUUACCAGACAAGGAGACAGUUUGAGUAGGCCCCCAAAAAUCAGAAUGAAUAGUCGCAAAAGGAAUGACUUUUAUUAUGACCCAGAGAAUAGGAUGUUCUAGUGUGUUUAGCAUACUCAUAAGCAUCACAAAAUAGAGAAUCAAACUGAGUUCUAGCAAACAAAUUAGGAUAAAGUUUUUCUAAGGCAAAAAAUGAUGGAUGCCCUAACCGUUUGUGCCACUGUUUUAUUUCCUGAUUGACAUCCUUAUUUUCUCCAAAACAGGCUUGGGAUAUCGAAGAACCUGGAUCACCCUCCAACAUAUAUAAGCCAUCAUGCAGCCUACCAUUGCCAAUCCUCUUUCCUGUGCGAAGAUCCUGAAUAACACAAUGAUUAGAAAAGAAUUCAAUUUUACAAUUAAGGGCAUUGGUAAUAGCAUUGACAGAUAAAAGGUUGACAGGAAAGUGGGGAACAUGAAGGUCAUAUGAUAAUUUAAUGUUGGAUGUGCAAAUAACAGAACCUGUUCCGGAUAUGGGAGUAAAAGAGCUAUCAGCAAUUCUAACACUAUCUUAGAUUAGAGAAGGAAAAUAAUUGAGAAAGCCUUUAGAAGAGCCUGUCAAGUGUCUAUUCGCACUAGAAUCGAUAAUCCAUGGAACAUUAUAAGAGAGGAAGCAUUACCUGAUUUUACAAAGUUAGAUGUGGCACCGAAGGACGAGUAAUCAGAAUUAGGAAUAGAGACCCUUUUACCUUCUGCCAUGGUAAAGAUUUAUGAACCGUGAAAGAAUAGGAGGUACCCAAGGUUGUACACACAAGAAAGCCCAAUCGAUUCACCAAAACAUCGGGUAGCGGCACGGGAAGGCCGGAAAGAUGGUCGGAAUCGUCGCCAGAGUGAUUGGCACGGCAAAACAGCGUCAGGCGAUUAGUCACGCGCUGGGAAGGGGAGGCGCAUAAGCCUCAUGUGCGAGCUUUUUCAGCGUUGGAGCUGGGCGAUCGGCCUGCGACAGUUCUGGUGCCGACGGUGAGAGGAGGAAAGGCUCCUAGAUGAGUUAGUACCAAAAAAGGUAGAUCUAGGGUUUUGAAACCCUAAAGAGGAAAAAAUUGAAUUUGAACCCUAAAAUCAGGAAAAAGCUCUGAUACCAUGAAGAAUUUUGGGAAAAUUUAGAGAAUUCUUGUAUUUCACUCUUAAUCUUUACAAUUGAUUUACAUGACUAUUUAUACACAAAGAAUUAUAUCUAAACAGGAAGUAAAUAAUUAAAUAAUAAUUACAGAGAUAAUUAAGGAUCCUAAUUAAAUCAAAUCAUAUCCCUAGAAUCAGUUGGGAUCAGCAAAUAAGUCAACAAUUGGUAAAAGACACAUCUGGGGGUCUUUACAUUUUAGAUGCAUGGGUGCCUCGGUCUGUUGCCUGCUUCAGUGUCGUGUCUCCGUUUGAAACAUAUUGUCGGUUGGGACACCCUUCUUUACCGGUUUUGAAGAAGUUAUGCCCUCAAUUUCAUGAGGUAUCUUUAUUGGAAUGUGAGUCAUGUCAUUUUGCAAAACAUCAUCGAAGCUUUUUAAGUCCUAGAGUUAAUAAACAAGCUGAGUCUGCUUUUGAAUCAGUCCAUUCAGAUGUUUGGGGCUCAUGUCCGGCUGGAUCUAAGACUGGAUUCAGAUAUUUUAUUACUUUUAUGAAUGAUUACUCUAUAAUGAUUUGGAUUUAUUUUAUGAAGCAUCGUUCGUAAGUGUUUUCUCAUUUUUCUGCCUUUUGUGCUGAAAUCAAGAUUCAAUUUAAUGUUUUUGUGCAAAUUUUGCUUAGCGACAAUGCUAAAGAAUAUAUGUCAGAAUCAUUCUAGACUUAUAUGACUCAACAUCACCAAUCGUCAUGUGUUGAUACACCCGUUCAAAAUGGAAUAGCUGAAAGGAAGAAUCGACAUUUCCUUGAGACUGCUCGAGUUUUGUUGUUUCAAAUGCAAGUUCCUAAGCAAUUUUGGGCC